UACGUAGGUGACAAGCGUUGUCCGGAUUUACUGGGCGUAAAGAGCGCGCAGGCGGUCGUUCAAGUCGAGUGUGAAAGCCCCCGGCUCAACUGGGGAGGGUCAUUCGAUACUGAUCGACUCGAAGGCAGGAGAGGGUAGUGGAAUUCCCGGUGUAGUGGUGAAAUGCGUAGAUAUCGGGAGGAACACCAGUGGCGAAGGCGACUACCUGGCCUGUUCUUGACGCUGAGGUGCGAAAGCGUGGGGAGCAAACAGG
rnacentral:rRNA from 1 species